UACGAAGGGGGCUAGCGUUGCUCGGAAUUACUGGGCGUAAAGCGCACGUAGGCGGCUUUCUAAGUCGGGGGUGAAAUCCUGGAGCUCAACUCCAGAACUGCCUUCGAUACUGGAAAGCUCGAGUCCGGGAGAGGUGAGUGGAACUGCGAGUGUAGAGGUGAAAUUCGUAGAUAUUCGCAAGAACACCAGUGGCGAAGGCGGCUGACUGGUCCGGAUCUGACGCUGAGGCGCGAAAGCGUGGGGAGCAAACAGG
rnacentral:rRNA from 1 species